rnacentral:rRNA from 1 species
CCUACGGGUGGCAGCAGUGGGGGAUAUUGCACAAUGGGGGAAACCCUGAUGCAGCGACGCCGCGUGGGUGAAGAAGCGCCUCGGCGCGUAAAGCCCUGUCAGCAGGGAAGAAAAUGACGGUACCUGAAGAAGAAGCCCCGGCUAACUACGUGCCAGCAGCCGCGGUAAUACGUAGGGGGCAAGCGUUAUCCGGAUUUACUGGGUGUAAAGGGGGCGCAGACGGCGAUGCAAGCCAGGAGUGAAAGCCCGGGGCCCAACCCCGGGAUGGCUUUGGGAACUGCGUGGCUAGAGUGCAGGAGGGGGAGGCGGAAUUCCUGGUGUAGCGGUGAAAUGCGUAGAGAUCAGGAGGAACACCGGUGGCGAAGGCGGCCUGCUGGACUGCAACUGACGUUGAGGCCCGAAAGCGUGGGGAGCAAACAGGAUUAGAUACCCUUGUAGUC